AGAGAAGAGUGUCCAGCUCCUCCAGAGGCUGCCCGCCCGCCGCUCCUUCCCUGCCCACCUACUAUGAGGAGCAGCUCCUCCCACCUGCCCAUAAAAGCCAAGUGCAUGUUACCAGCAGCGGAUCACAGCCCUUCCCCGAUCCUCUCCGUGGGAGCCAGCGAGCCUCUCUCCCUGAUCUUACGUGCUCAAGGGAGCUCACACGUUCACCAACUCACCCUUGAAGUCAUCUCAAGAACAAAAGACAACUGAAAGACGUUUCCAUACAGUUCCUCGCUCAGAACAGCUUCAGCUGUCUAUGGGAAGGCUUCACAAGACAAAGAGCUAGGACUUGGCCAUUUACACAAAACCAAAAGUGAAUUACCCAGAGUGUGCUGGCAGAGAGACUUGAAUGUAAGGACAUGGGAAAAUCUACACAGGUUGCCAAUGGUUUGUGACUGUGAGAAAAGAAAAGAAAAAUUAAAGAAAAUCUUACUAGCAUAAUUCACAUUGGACAACAUGAGCACAUUCCAGUCAAUCCACUUUAUAGACAUGAUCUCACUGGUCUCCCCAACAUCCCUACAAGGAAAUGAGGGGGACCAGUAUGGCUCCACCCUUAGGUCAAAAGCCCAUCCUUCACUCCCACUUGUGGCUGUGAGUGGGUGGAACACAUUUAAACAGGGGAACAAAUUACCAUCUUCCUUGCUUUUGACCCUUUAACAUGCGGGUGAGCAAGUCUGCCUUUUCCCUGCUUGAGGCCAUACAAUUCCCAAAACAACUUGUCUGAAAUGUUGGGGGCUGAGUCAUUGGCCAGUGAUAGUUUUCAAACAACUGCUGGUUUGUUUCUCAACCACUGCUUGGCCAUGCUGACUUGGACACAAUACAGCAUGUAAUAAAAGUGCCUGGGAUAUUUUCCUCCUUGGCCCAGAGAAGACUUUUAGAAGGAAAGACAAUGGUGAAUACGGAAGGGGAGAUGAAUGCACUAGAAAGAUAUGUUGCCAGCAUUGUGCUCAGCCGAAGAGAAGCUUUGAGACCAAGAAAUGUGAGCAUAUUGGGCAUCUAGAAGUUCUCCCAGAUAGUAGCGUAGAUCUCCAUUUUUCUGGGUUGUUUGUUGUUGUUGUUUGUUGUUGUCAUUUUCUGCACUAUGCUGCCUCUCAAGACUCCCUUAUGUGUGCUAUAAAAAAAAAUCCAUGACAGAAUGGUCUAUUCUCCACAAAAAUAGUUACUAUUGUUGUUGAGGUGUUACUAAUAGUUACUAGUAGUUACAAAAAUAGUUACUAAUGUUGUUGAGGUGAAGUCAAUGGGAAAGAUAGUAGUAAAAUAGCAAAAAUGUAUUAGAUAGUAUUUUUCACAUUGGGAAUAUAAGACAAUUCAUUCAAAAACCAACUCCUUAGGAUUCAUUUUAUUAUCUUACACUUAAAAAUAUGUUUAGAUUUUUCUUUCUUGCACUAGAAAUUAAAUUGUCCUAUAUAUUGAGGGAUGAAAAGCACAGAUGAUUAUCCGUAUAAAUAUUGACACACAUACUCACUCUAUCCACAUAGCUAUCUGUUAUGGAUAAAGAACUCGGCAACUUCUAGCAGUCAUCUGAGAUGAGCACCAUAUGUGCAUUAUUUCACUAAAGCUUUCAGAGCUUGAGAAAAAUAGCCUGAAGAAUAAGAUUGUUUCUUUCUGAGCCAAGGUUGCAAUCUUCCAAGUCCAAGAUGUGCUUGAAAAUACUCAUUAGGUAAUUGUCAAAGCCUAGGAAGACCAGUUUAAGAAUAUGAAAUAAUAUUACUACUGACUUCUCUUUUUGUGUUCAAUCCAGAUGGAAGCUGGACACAUGAGAAGUGACGUUUGUAUAAUAGCAAAGAAAAGAACAGAGAACAAGAAAGCAAAACCCUUCACACCUAUGUUCUCUUUAUAGGAUCUCAUUACUGUUUGCUCUCUAUAAUCCCCAGAAAAUAGAAAAAGUAUAUCUAUCCAAUAAGUUGUGGAAAGUCUCCCUCUGUCCUUCUAUAAUAGAGUUUCCAGUCAUUGUUAGACAACUGCAUUUCAUUCACCAAUAGUGGCCUAUUGAAAUCAUCAACAGGAGAAACAGUUGUUAAUAUCAAAUAAAGAGUCUUGCAAUGGAAGUCAAAAUACUUUACUCUUUCACUAACUUGGUGUAUGAUCUUGAGCAAGUCAUUUAACCUCUCUAAGUUUGCUUGCCUCAUCUGUCAAACAAGAGAGAUGAGAUAAAUUAUCUCCACAGGCAUUUUCAGAACUAUUCUAGUCUUUUUGGAAAUUGGUUUAUAUUUGUAGAAAAGGUUCAAUCUGUUUCUGGCAUGGCAGUGACCAAGUCAGAAUUUCUAUUUGGGAGAUGAGAAAAACACAUUAACAAGAUUAAUUACUGUAGCUGAAAGAUACAUAAAUAUGGAUUGGGGUGUAUUUUUAAUACCACAAAAACUUCCAUUCCUGAGUUACUUCAUUAGCAACUGUUACUUCAACCAUCUAGGUUGAGGUUUUCCAGUAAUUCUAGGUCAGCAAUUAUGGACCCUACUUAUUUUCUUUUUUUUAUUAUACUUUAAGUUCUAGGGUACAUGUGCACAAUGUGCAGGUCUGUUACAUAUGUAUACAUGUGCCAUGUUGGUGUGCUGCACCCAUUAACUCAUCAUUUACAUUAGGUAUAUCUCCUAAUGCUAUCCCUCCCACCUCCCCCAACCCCAUGACAGGCCCCGGUGUGUGACGUUCCCCUUCCUGUGUCCAAGUGUUCUCAUUGUUCAAUUCCCACCUAUGAGUGAGAACAGGCGGUGUUUGGUUUUCUGUCUUUGCGAUAGUUUGCUCAGAAUGAUGGUUUCCAGCUUCAUCUAUGUCCCUACAAAGGACAUGAACUCAUUCUUUUUUAUGGCUGCAUAGUAUUCCAUGGUGUAUAUGUGCCACAUUUUCUUAAUCCAGUCUACCAUUGAUGGACAUUUGGGUUGGUUCCAAGUCUUUGCUAUUGUGAAUAGUGCCGCAAUAAACAUACAUGUG
rnacentral:lncRNA from 1 species